GUCAUCUUCUUCUCCUUCAUCUAACCCUAGCCGCCCCCGCCCCCCGGUGGUUCCGUCCCCGCCGGCCAGCACCUCCCUUCGGCGGUCUUUGACAAGCAAUGACGGCAUUCUUUCUCAGCAACCCGCGACAGCACCACGAACCCGUUGUAGACGCGGCAUUCGGUCGGCGUGUUUCCUAGUAGUAGUGACACAUCCUUCCGGUCUGUGGCGACUUGUACCAGAUCUGUGGUGGCGCAACAUUAAAGUUCCUCCAAAAGUUUUUUUUCUCGAGAAAGCCCAGCCACAAGCAAUCAGAUCCAGUCACCGUGUCGGACUCGCGUCGAUUAGUGGUUCAACAGCGACGUUUGGAGGCCACGAACCGCUUUCUACUCGACGGCUCUUGUCUUUCGGCGUUGUUGUUGUAGCCACCGACGACCUAACGCCAACAAUAGUAGACACGUGAAGGUUUCUUUGUUCCGGCGACACUUGGUGUUGACCCAUCCUUAUUCGGAGCUGGUUUCGAGUUACGAGAUUAUUGAUGCAUGAGGCAUGGCUUAGUAGCAAGUAGGACUCUUGUGAGAGUUUUGAGACAUGACAAAGCGGAGGAUUCGUUGGCGACCAUGGUGAUGAAGUGGAGGAGACAUGAUGAGCGAGGACCAUAGGCUGCGUAGUUGCUUUUGCUUAGCUUAGGUUUAGAUGGUUAAGACUUUAUGGUUUGGUCAAUAAACUACUUGUUCAUAUUUGAACAAUUGGGAGGUUCCCACUCGUUGUUUACUUUAUUUCGGAAUAGGUGUUUAUUUUAGUUUUCUUCCAUUUAUUGAGUUUGCCUAGUUAGAAUAAUGAAGUUGCCUCAUGGGGUUGUCCACGGAGGAUGUUUGUUUGAUAUUCUAUAGAGUUGAUUCAUUGGUAAAUUGAUGAGAGUUGAAGCUUUAUUUUA